GACGAACGCUGGCGGCGUGCUUAACACAUGCAAGUCGAGCGGAGCGGCGAACGGGUGAGUAACGCGAGAGUAACUGCCCCCCUCUCAGGGAUAACAGUUGGAAACGGCUGCUAAUACUGGAUAGUGGGGGAUGCCUCGCGUCCUAUCAGCUUGUGGGUGGGGUAUUGGCCUACCAAGGGGACGCCGGGUGGCCGGCCUGAGAGGGCGACCGGCCACAUUGGGCGGGGGUACGGGCCAAAGUCCAACGGGGGGCAGCAGUGGAGAAUAGUGCACAAUAGGGGAAACCAUGAUGCAGGAACGCCGCGUGCGGGAGGACGGCCUUCGGGUUGUAACCCGCUUUCAGCCAUGACGCGGUAGUGGCAGAGGAAGCACCGGCUAACUACGUGCCAGCAGCCGCGGUAAUAC
rnacentral:rRNA from 1 species